CUGCCCGUAGCUCAGUUGGAUUAGAGCAACAGCCUUCUAAGCUGUGGGUCGCAAGUUCGAGUCUUGCCGGGCAGGCCA
rnacentral:tRNA from 4 species